CGUUGGAGCUCAUCAACAUUUGACCACAAAGUCCAGCAGGACGGCACAUCUUGUGGAGCCAUAAUAUGCCAAGUAAGACAUUUGUGAAAAAUUGUGGAGGAUCACUUGUGGCACAACAUUGAAAUGUGAAGAAACGUGUAUUUGGACAUUUUUACAAUAUAUUAUGAAUAUCAUUCUAGUUGGCAGACAAGAUUUUAAGACAGGAGGUGCUCCCAAUGUUUGAUUGCCGGAGCACAAAUGCAGUCAGAAUGAAAAUUGCACAAACAUUGAUCUCAGAAACAGGUUAGUUUCGUUAUUUAUUAUCUCACGGUGUGAUGUUGGUAAUCCCUGUGAAUAACUGUUCAUGUUAACAACAGAUGAUCUCUCAGAAAUAUGCAGAGUUUGUGCCAACCCUGACACCCAUGAUACCUGG